CUUCUUCGAUCUGCUGCGGGCAGAUGUAGUGGAUAUGGGCGUCCAUGCCGCCGGCGGUCAGGAUCUUGCCCUCACCCGCAAUGGCUUCCGUCGAAGGGCCGACGAUGAUCGUCACGCCCGGCUGCGUAUCCGGAUUGCCCGCCUUGCCGAUUGCGUGAAUGCGCCCGUCCUUCAAGCCGACAUCGGCCUUGUAGAUGCCCGAAUGAUCGACGAUCACCGCAUUGGUGAUGACGGUAUCGACCGCACCCUCCGCACGGGUCGCCUGGCUCUGGCCCAUGCCGUCACGAAUG
rfam:Rhizobium sp. Root564 contig_3, whole genome shotgun sequence.